rnacentral:rRNA from 1 species
AGAAUGAACGUUGGCGGCGUGGAUUAGGCAUGCGAGUCGCGCGAGAAUGUAGCAAUACAGGAAAGCGGCGAAAGGGAGAGGAAUAGGUGGGAAUCUGCCCCUGGGUCGGGGAUAGCUACGGGAAACUGUAGGUAAUACCCGAUAACGUCGAAAGACCAAAGGUGUGAUUCCGUCUGGGGAUGAGCCCACUCCUAUUAGCUAGUUGUUAGGGUAAUGGCCUAACAAGGCAUUGAUGGGUAGCUGGUGUGAGAGCACGACCAGCCUCACUGGCACUGAGACACUGGCCAGACACCUACGGGUGGCUGCAGUCGAGAAUCUUCGGCAAUGGACGAAAGUCUGACCGAGCGACGCCGCGUGCGGGAUGAAGGCCUUCGGUUGUAAACCGCUGUCGUAGGGGAUCAAACGCAUGGGGUUAUCCCCAUGUUCGAGAGAUCCUAGGAGGAAGGAGAGGCUAAGCUCGUGCCAGCAGCCGC